GACGAACGCUGGCGGCGUGCUUAACACAUGCAAGUCGAACGGAAAGGCCCUGCUUUUGUGGGGUGCUCGAGUGGCGAACGGGUGAGUAACACGUGAGUAACCUGCCCUUGACUUUGGGAUAACUUCAGGAAACUGGGGCUAAUACCGGAUAGGAGCUCCUGCUGCAUGGUGGGGGUUGGAAAGUUUCGGCGGUUGGGGAUGGACUCGCGGCUUAUCAGCUUGUUGGUGGGGUAGUGGCUUACCAAGGCUUUGACGGGUAGCCGGCCUGAGAGGGUGACCGGCCACAUUGGGAAUGAGAUACGGCCCAGACUCCUACGGGAGGCAGCAGUGGGGAAUAUUGCACAAUGGGCGGAAGCCUGAUGCAGCAACGCCGCGUGCGGGAUGACGGCCUUCGGGUUGUAAACCGCUUUCGCCUGUGACGAAGCGUGAGGGAGGGUAAUGGGGAAAGAAGCACCGGCUAACUAAGU
rnacentral:rRNA from 1 species